rnacentral:rRNA from 1 species
UACAGAGGGUGCAAGCGUUAAUCGGAAUUACUGGGCGUAAAGCGCGCGUAGGUGGUUUGUUAAGUUGGAUGUGAAAUCCCCGGGCUCAACCUGGGAACUGCAUCCAAAACUGGCAAGCUAGAGUAUGGUAGAGGGUGGUGGAAUUUCCUGUGUAGCGGUGAAAUGCGCAGAUAUAGGAAGGAACACCAGUGGCGAAGGCGACCACCUGGACUGAGUACUGACACUGAGGUGCGAAAGCGUGGGGAGCAAACAGGG